rnacentral:tRNA from 1 species
UUAAGUGUAGCCCAGUGGUAGAGCACUUGCCUGACAUGCUCAAGUCUGUGAGUUCAAUUCUCAGCACUGAAA